rnacentral:rRNA from 1 species
CUACCAAGGCAAUGAUCUAUAGCUGAUCUGAGAGGAUGAUCAGCCACACUGGAACUGAGAUACGGUCCAGACUCCUACGGGAGGCAGCAGUGGGGAAUAUUGGACAAUGGGCGAAAGCCUGACCCAGCCAUGCCGCAUGAGUGAAGAAGGCCUUCGGGUUGUAAAGCUCUUUUAGUGAGGAAGAUAAUGACGGUACUUACAGAAGAAGUCCUGGCUAACUCCGUGCCAGCAGCCGCGGUAAUACGGAAAGGGCUAGCGUUAUUCGGAAUCAUUGGGCGUAAAGGGCGCGUAUGCGGAUUAGUAAGUUAAAAGUGAAAUCCCAAGGCUCAACCUUGGAAUUGCUUUUAAAACUGCUAAUCUAGAGAUUGAAAGAGGAUAGAGGAAUUCCUAGUGUAGAGGUGAAAUUCGUAAAUAUUAGGAGAAACACCAGUGGCGAAGGCGUCUAUCUGGUUCAAAUC